rnacentral:rRNA from 1 species
CCUACGGGAGGCUGCAGUAGGGAAUCUUCGGCAAUGGGGGCAACCCUGACCGAGCAACGCCGCGUGAGUGAAGAAGGUUUUCGGAUCGUAUAGCUCUGUUGUUAGAGAAGAAUGGAAGUAGGAGUGGAAAGUCUACUUCGUGACGGUAACUAACCAGAAAGGAACGGCUAACUACGUGCCAGCAGCCGCGGUAAUACGUAGGGCGCAAGCGUUAUCCGGAAUUAUUGGGCGUAAAGAGCUUGUAGGCGGUUCGUCGCGUCUGGUGUGAAAGCCCAUCGCUUAACGGUGGGUCUGCGCCGGGUACGGGCGGGCUAGAGUGCAGUAGGGGAGACUGGAAUUCCCGGUGUAACGGUGGAAUGUGUAGAUAUCGGGAAGAACACCAAUGGCGAAGGCAGGUCUCUGGGCUGUUACUGACGCUGAGAAGCGAAAGCGUGGGGAGCGAACAGGAUUAGAUACCCGAGUAGU